rnacentral:rRNA from 1 species
UACGUAAGGUGCAAGCGUUAAUCGGAAUUACUGGGCGUAAAGCGUGCGCAGGCGGUUAUGCAAGACAGAUGUGAAAUCCCCGGGCUCAACCUGGGAACUGCAUUUGUGACUGCAUGGCUAGAGUGCGGCAGAGGGGGAUGGAAUUCCGCGUGUAGCAGUGAAAUGCGUAGAUAUGCGGAGGAACACCGAUGGCGAAGGCAAUCCCCUGGGCUUGCACUGACGCUCAUGCACGAAAGCGUGGGGAGCAAACAGG